GAGCAAUGGCUUGGCGUGAGCUUGAUUUAUCUUCUUGUUGUUAUUUGGAGUAGUAGUGCUACCAGAGAGGACGUACGUGUGAGGGGCGGGAAAGAUCACAUGCCGGAUUGCCCGAAGAGCAUGGCGAUUUAAUUCCAGAUCGAGGGCGGAGGCUUGUCCGCCACACCCGGGUUGGACAGAGGGGGAGGCUCAGUCAAGCGGAGGAGAAAUGGGAUCC
rnacentral:lncRNA from 1 species